GCGGAUGUGGCUCAGGUGGUGGAAGCGCUGGCCUCGCGUGCCAGAAGGCUGGGUUUGAUCCCUAGCACCGCA
rnacentral:tRNA from 1 species